CGUAGGUAACCUGCCUCUUAGCGGGGGAUAACUAUUGGAAACGAUAGCUAAUACCGCAUAAAAGACGAUAUCGCAUGAUAUUGAUUUGAAAGGUGCAAUUGCAUCACUAAGAGAUGGACCUGCGUUGUAUUAGCUAGUUGGUGAGGUAACGGCUCACCAAGGCGACGAUACAUAGCCGACCUGAGAGGGUGAUCGGCCACACUGGGACUGAGACACGGCCCAG
rnacentral:rRNA from 1 species